AGCAGAUAGCUAGCAUGAUUUUCACAGAAUUUAAACCAAAAAUUUUCGUCUAAACCAACAACAUGCUCUAGAAAGCAAACACUGAUCAAUAGGUAAAUAAGCAGCCGUAAAAGGACAAAACAACAUACAGACAGAAAUUUAGAAGUAAUACCUGCCAGAGAGUGAAGGUGAGUUAGCAGAAGUUCGACCACUAGCGUAGCUUAUCUGGUUCAACUCGUAUCCCUAAGCUCACGAGUCCACGGCUCAGCAAAUUGGCGGCCAUACAAUACACACUUAAUCUUCUCAAAAGAACUUUUUAAGACGGCAGAGUCUCGUGCUGAUAACGUGUUAUAAAACAAUAAAAGAACAAGAGCAAUAUUACAGAGAAA
rnacentral:lncRNA from 1 species